rnacentral:rRNA from 1 species
AGGUUUGAUUCUGGCUCAGAUUGAACGCUGGCGGCAGGUCUAACACAUGCAAGUCGAACGGUAACAGGAAGCAGCUUGCUGCUUCGCUGACGAGUGGCGGACGGGUGAGUAAUGUCUGGGAAACUGCCUGAUGGAGGGGGAUAACUACUGGAAACGGUAGCUAAUACCGCAUAACGUCGCAAGACCAAAGAGGGGGACCUUCGGGCCUCUUGCCAUCAGAUGUGCCCAGAUGGGAUUAGCUAGUAGGUGGGGUAACGGCUCACCUAGGCGACGAUCCCUAGCUGGUCUGAGAGGAUGACCAGCCACACUGGAACUGAGACACGGUCCAGACUCCUACGGGAGGCAGCAGUGGGGAAUAUUGCACAAUGGGCGCAAGCCUGAUGCAGCCAUGCCGCGUGUAUGAAGAAGGCCUUCGGGUUGUAAAGUACUUUCAGCGGGGAGGAAGGUGCUGAGGUUAAUAACCUCAGCAAUUGACGUUACCCGCAGAAGAAGCACCGGCUAACUCCGUGCCAGCAGCCGCGGUAAUACUGAGGGUGCAAGCGUUAAUCGGAAUUACUGGGCGUAAAGCGCACGCAGGCGGUCUGUCAAGUCGGAUGUGAAAUCCCCGGGCUAACCUGGGAACUGCAUUCAAACUGGCAGGCUAGAGUCUUGUAGAGGGGGGUAGAAUUCCGGUGUAACGGUGAAAUGCGUAGAGAUCCUGGUAGGAUACCGGUUGGCGAAGGCGGCCCCCUGGACAAAGACUGAC